UACGGGGGGGGCAAGCGUUGUUCGGAAUUACUGGGCGUAAAGGGCUCGUAGGUGGCCAACUAAGUCAGACGUGAAAUCCCUCGGCUUAACCGGGGAACUGCGUCUGAUACUGGAUGGCUUGAGUUUGGGAGAGGGAUGCGGAAUUCCAGGUGUAGCGGUGAAAUGCGUAGAUAUCUGGAGGAACACCGGUGGCGAAGGCGGCAUCCUGGACCGAGAUUGACGCUGAGGCGCGAAAGCCAGGGGAGCAAACGGG
rnacentral:rRNA from 1 species